rnacentral:lncRNA from 10 species
GCUUUGUCUUCAACAUAAUAUAUUUAUUAAAUAAAUGUAACUGUGUAAUCAUGGAAUCUAAGCACAGGAGGAUUUCCAAGCUUCACCUCACAUCAAAUGCAGGCAUCAUAUAGCCUCUAGGCCUUGGGUUAUGUCAGGGAUUUUUGCUUUUCACUUAGACUUGCAGUUGUCUUUCUUAGAAGAUAUGAAACAUGUUGGUCCCACCUCUAGCCAAGUAAAAACAGGUAUGUGAAUAAAAUGACUAUCAAAACAGGUUCUUUUCAAAGCGUUGGAAAUAUUGGAUUUCUCUUGGCUGUGAAUGUAGUGGGAGUCUUGAUGUCUUCGUCAUAUUGGGGAGCUUUUUAUUCAGCAUACUAAAAACAUGUAUCUAGCAAUUUCUAGAGGGUGCCAGGACUUUUCUUGGGGUUAGAGUAAUGAAGAUGAUUAUACAAUGGCCUCUAUCCAGUUGACGCAACUGAUUAGAUUAGCUAAAUGUUACAGGGCACGGUGGUAUAAAAAAAUUCCUGGAAGACGGAAGAUUUUAUUCACCACAUAAGCAGUCAUGGGGUAGGUGUUCCACAACUAGUUGGAUGUGUCAAGGCACAGCAUCCUACAAAAACAUAGUCUGUUUUGAAAAAUUCAGUCUGCCUGAAGGUGGGUGGCUGGAGAAAAACUUGAGAAGUUAGGAGGGACCACAUCACCCAAUACCUGGUUAACCAACUAGGAGAGAUUUAAUGACUACCUGUAUAGCCAGCAGGAACAUUUAAUGUGGGGUACAAGAUCACCUUUGUUCUUUAGGAAGUUUGUAGUCAUUCAUAAAUCCAAAGGAAAAAGCAAAAAUUCAGGCCAUGUUAUGCCUCACAUGUAAAAUAGCCUGCUAUCCAGCCCUGGGCAUUGCAUUAUUCCAGUAAGGGCUAAUGUUGUAUAUUCUUCUCAACUAUUUCAAUAAAAAAUGUGGAGGAUACAUUCCAGUUGAAAGAUCACUUAUUUGAAUUUUACCUUUUAGUGCCAAGAUUGCAGGGAAAAAUAUCAUUUGUGAGCCUCUCGGAAGGUUGGCUGAUCUGCAGAUAGGAUAAAAUAUCCUGCAUGUACUCUCCAUUUGAUUUGUAAUUUACAUAGCAUCUCUUUGUUCAUCAAGGAACACCCUGCAUGACUUCCUGACACUGACCUGGAUUUUACUUAUGGCUGCCCUAAAUUGUGUUAUCAUGGUGUACCGGUUGUUCAGUAUUCAGCCUUGCUCCUCUGUAACUUAAUAUUAUGAUUUAUUUCUGACUUGGCUUUUCUUUAUCGAAUGCUGACUUUUUCUAAGAGGUUCAUGUGGAAAUGUGCUACAUGAAAAAAAAAAAAGGAGCACAGUUUGGCCUCAGGGCAAAAACAUGAAUACUGACCCAGGGACAUGAAUACAGGGCAGAAGAGAGAGUGGCACAGGCAACAAAAUUAACUCAUUUCUUUGCCUUUUGUGUGUUCCUAAGUGUGUGGAGUGACUCAAAUUUUAGCACAGAAAGUAAAGUUAGAAAGCAACUGCUAUUUGCCAACAACCCAUUCUUUAAUUCUCAAAGAUCAAAAAUUUGCUUGAAAACUGACAUUUUCAUUUUCUCCUGGCCCAGUGAACAAAGUUUUAAGGUUAUGUGGUCGCUCUGAUACCACCUAAGAAGCAAAUAUUUCUUGCAGUCUACUUCUAGAUGUGAAUGAACUGAAAGUAAAUGACUCAGAGAUGGAGUAAAUGUCCCUUGAAAUACACCCAAACUUAAUAAUUAGGAGAAGAGUGCUUGAAUAAACACAUUUAGAGUGUUAUUGAGCAUAUACAAGCUUAGAUGGUCCAUAUUUCUAAAAGACAGUGAGUCUAUAGCACAUUCUUCGGAGAUGAGAAAAUUAUGCCAUAAAUAAAAUUUGUAGUGGAGGCAUUUGUUUUAUCAUUCAGUUAAGUAGCAGGAAUUCUUUCAUACCUAGAGGGACUUAGGUAAAACUAAUAAACAGACAUACUUAACAACAAGAACAACAACAACAAAAAUAAAGCAUUACCAUUCAAGAGUGUGAAAUCACUUCUCUGAGAGCCUUUUUGGAUUGAAUAUUCUUUUUGGGCUGGUAAUGUCAAACUAAAACUUUACCUAAACACAGAUAACUAGGUGGCUCUUAGCAUACCUUUCAGGGCUUAUGGUCUCCAAUUAUUCCACUCACAUCCCCCUAUACAUUUCCAAAUCACCUCUUUCAGUGUCUCCAGUGUUUAAACAUGAACUGGAUAGAGUGUUGCAUGGUAGUAUUAAAUAAAAUUUAGCUUAAAGCUGUUUCCUUACAUAUUAUAAGUUCUGUCUAAAGGUUUCUACGUGCAUAGUAUACAUGUCAUUGAAAGUGUAAAUGGACUAUAACCUACUCUGAUACCAAUCACUGAGUUGUGGCCAAUCAAAGGUGGCCAACUGCUCAAACCACAUUCAAAUAUGGCAAAUGCUGAGCUGUAACCAAUCCCGUUGUUUCUGUACCUCAUUUCUGUUUUCUCUCUGUCACUUUUCUUUUUCUUUCCAUAAAUCUUCUUCAACCACCUGGCAGUGCCAGAGUUUCUCUGAACCCAUUCUGGCUUGGGGGAUGCCUGAUUCAUGAAUCAUUCUUUGCUCAAUUAAACUCUGUUUAAUUUAAUUUGUCUAAGGUUUUUCUUUUAACAGUAGAGAUAGGAGUACAACACACUUUGAGGUGUACAGGAGUGAGUUCAAAUCCUAGCUCUGUUAUUGGCUUGAUUUCUCAUCUUGAGCAAGGUACUUAGUUUCUCUGAGCCUUAGUUUCUGCACUUGUAAAUGUGGAGAAGUGAAACACCAGACUUGAGAGGAUGCUCUGCUAUCUGAACGAGGUAAUGGGAAAAUGCUCGGCCAGUGUUGUAACUCAAUCUUCUUAUCCAACAGUGAGCCCCUUGGGCACCCAGACCCAGACUCGCCCUUCUAGUCUCACGUCUUGCACUCUCUGGCACAUCUCAUGUAGGCUCUGUUGCCUGUCAUGUUUUCCAGUCCACAAAUACCCUUGGCAUGCUCUCAUGUCUGUACUUGGUCCACAUUAUUCUAACGUGAAUACAUGAAACUUCUAAUGACAGUGCAAUCUUUCUAGACAAUCUCUGAAGGAGAAAUGUUACUAGUCUGUGGUGAAUAUAAAAAUAGGCUCAUAGGGAAAAAAAACUGUGAUUGAAGGUAUAAUUCUGCAUUUUCUUGGGAUAUACAUAAAUAGCAAGUAGUCAUUUUUUACUUAAAAAAAAAAAAAGAAAUCUACAGAAAGAAAAUUUAGCUGUCUUUCUGUUGCUAACCUUCCAGGAGGCCUUGGUUCUCCUUUAAGGUUGAAGUUCGUUUGUGACAGGUUAGUGCUGCUCAUUUUUGUGGCUUUCCAGAAGCCACCGUGGAAAAGGCAGAAGUCUUCCCCUCCCAUUAUGCUGAGUCAGACAUGGCAUCUACAUGACUCAUCACCAAGUGGUUCUCCAGAAUUCACUUUGCUUGCUUUUCCCCAAUCCAGAUAAUCCUCGGGACUGGUAGCCACCCAACUCACUCCUGCACACUGUUCUUCCUCUUUGGAGGCACCCACCAUGCCUGUCUGAUGCUGCCCCUCAAGGUCACAUCGGAGUCUCCUGUACCUACCUUGUCUGUGGCUACCCAACUCUAUACAAUUUCUGAAGCUUUCAUAACACCCAGAUGGUCUAUAAUGUAAUAUGUGUUUAGAUAAUCCUCAGGCCAAAACAUCUUUCCAAAAUUUAACUGUAAAUCUGUCACUUCCAUGGGUUAUGUUAGUCUUUUCCAUGUUCAAAUGGCUAUCUGAGCUCCUGGGGAGGGGAAGUCACUCCCGGAGUUCUCUUUCCAUCAUUCAUAGUGUGAAUCUCACCUUGGGCUGGGAGGAAUUUGUGAUGGGCAUACAAGUGAGAAAAAGGGUGCAAAGGGGUGAGAUGGUAUGUUAGUCAGGGUUCUCUAGAGGGACAGAAUUAAUAGGAUAGAUGUAUAUACAAAGGGGAAUGUAUUAAGGAGUAUUAACUCACGAGAUCACAAGGUAAGGUUGCAUAAUAGGCCAUCUGCAACCUGAGGAGCAAGGAAGCCAGUCCAAGUCCCAAAGCUGAAGGACCUUGAGUCCAAUGUUUGAGGGCAGGAAGCAUCCAGCAUAUGGGAGAAAGAUGUAGGCUUGGAGGCUAAGCCAGUCUAAUCUUUUUUUUUUUUUUUGAGAUGGAGUUGCCCUCUGUCACCCAGGCUGGAGUGCAGUGGCGUGAUCUCAGCUCACUGCAACCUCCGCCUCCGCCUCGCAGUACCUGAGAUUACAGGUGCAUGCCAACACGGCUAAUUCUUGUAUUUUUAGUAGAUACAGGGUUUCACCAUGUUGGCCAGUUGGUCUGGAACGAACUCCUGACCUCAAGUGAUCCGCCCACCUCAGCCUCCGAAAGUUCUGCGAUUACAGGUGUGAGCCACUGUGCCUGGCCAAGCCUAAUCUUUCCACGUUCUUCUGCUUGCUUUUAUUCUAGUUACACUGUCAGCUGGUUAGAUGGUGCCCUCCCAGAUUGAAGGUAGAUCUGCGUUUCCCAGUCCACUGACUCAAAUGUUAAUCUCCUUUGGCAACGCCUUCACAGACACACCCAGAAUCAAUACAUUGCACCCUUCAAUCCAAUCAAGUUGACAUCCAGUAGUAACCAUCACAGAUGGCUAAUACGGGAGAUAUUCAUGAAGGGUCUGGGAAGGGGAUUUGGAAGAGAUAUGGACACAAAGGAAGGAGGAAAGAAAAGGGGAAGUGAGACGGGAACCAAACCAAACACCCUGUAUUGCACAAUUGAGCCUGGAGUUGGCCUGCUCGCCACAGAGCAGUCACAGGUUUUCAGGAUGCUUUAGUGAUAGCAGCCAUCAGUACCUCUCAUUAGGAGCAAAAGCCCUGAUUGGUAAUAGUAUAUUCUACUUAUUUAGAGAAUAAAAGUUCCCUGUUAGAACCAGCCUUCUCAGAAUGGCAUUCAGCUUUUCAGAAAAGCACAGCACCAGCAUAUUUCUUAUCUGCCUUGAAGGUUAUAAUAAAUCCCUUCUUCUGUUAAUUCAUAAAUCCUUCAGCCACAUGCCAUUUUGGGGCCAUAUGCUUUCUUUCCUCCCUCUAACCCUUGGAAAGAUCUUUCAUAUCCAAUCUCUGUAGAUAAUCUGAAUGUGAAAUCAGGUAUGGUUAUCUAAUCCCUCUAAUCAGAAGGUCAGCAGUUACCUGCAGCUUUUCCAUCUGUCCUCCAGCUGAAUGCUGCCAUUUAGUAAAUCAAAAAUUGGUUACAAAUUAGCAAAGCUGACUGGCUCAAUGAAAUCUAGCCUGGAGUCUUUGCUGGAAGGGGGGAAGUUUAAAUAUGGUUUGAAGGGAGAUUUGAGGUGAACUCUAUUUAUCAAAGCCGUGGAGUAGCAGCAUAAAAGAUGAGAGAUGUUCUCCUGGGUAAAAAUGUCAAAUCACAUGGGAAAUGGGAAUAUUUCACAUGGUGAUUACUGAAUUUUACAAUUGUUCGCAAAUUGAUUCAGCCCAGAAAUCAACUGGGAAGUCUCCCACAGGUGUCUAGCACUCUGCAGGUAUUAGCGUGAUACAGGGUAAGUCUCAAAGUACAAAAAAAAACACACAUGUGAAACAAUUUGCAAACAAUGAAGUGCUAACCUGUGUGGUGUGAAUUACAGAUGCAUUAGGACACCAGAAAAGGAAGAAAAGACAGUGGCAGCUGAAGACAUUUCAGGAAUGCUUCACUGAGAACCUAAGUCUUGUUCUGGGCCAUAAAGAAAAGGGGAGGGUGUGGUUUCUAUACCAGAGAUAAGAAAGGAGAAAAUUGGACGUGGAGGAAAGAUAUGAGUACCAAUCCGAGCGAACAAGGAAGAGUGAGUAAAUCUGUCCAGCUGGAGUUGGAGGUACAUUCUGGAAAAUGGUGAGAGAGGCUGUGUAGGGUAGGGGGACACGGAAAGAUGGGCCAAGACAUUUGGAGCUGAUAUUUGAUAUGGUUUGGCUGUGCCCCCACCCAAAUCUCAUCUUAAAUUGUAAUCCCCAUAAUCCCCACGUGUCGAGGGAGGGACCCGGUGGGAAGUGAUUGGAUCAUGGGGGCAGUUUUCCCCAUGGAAUUCUCGUGAUAGUGAGUGAGUUCUCACGAGAUCUCAUGGUUUUACAAGCGUCUGGUAUUUCACCUGAUUGCACUUCUCUCUUCUGCCUCCUAGUGAAAAAGGUGCCUGCUUCUCCUUCUGCCAUGAUUAUAAGUUUCCUGAGGCUUCCCCAGCCAUGCGUAACUGAGUGAGGACCUAGAAUUUUAAUGUCUAAUAUGCGGUGUGAAUUAAAGAAGCGGCCUUGCUAUGCUGACCUUUUCAAUAUUCUAAUCUUUGCUUUGCUGACCUCUCAGGCCUCUUCCUGGCAACAGUUAGGCUUUUGAGAGGAGAGAGAGCUGAGACUGUUGGCUCCUUCCCAUUUAUGAGAGAGCCACAUGACAUCAGCCCAUAGACUGUGGAGAGUAUUCCAGAUCUAUCACAUUCUGCGAUUCUGCGAUUCCCAGAAGGCUGGUCAUGAAAAAAUUCCCUCUUCAGUUUACAUAUAUGGCAGUGGAGCCCCUUGAUUCAAGUUUACACAAAAUGUGCCUUUGGAGACUAUCCUGUUAAUUUAAACAGUUCAGAUCCCACUUGUAUGUGAGACAGAUGCUUCUCUGGCCAUCAGCCAGGUACCACUAAAGGAGGUACAGGCACUUCUAGAUAUCUGUUGAGGCCUGGAAGGGGCAAAACAAUUCAGGAAGCAGUUGAAGAUAAAGGGGUUUACCAUGGAAGAGAAGAUCCAGGUGCCUUCAUGGAAAUGCUUGUGGUUGAAAAGAGAUGAAGAUGAGGGUCCCUGGAAAGAGGAAGAACCAGCCAGGAAAAUUAUACCAUUAGCAAGACUGGCAUCAGCAAGUAGUUCGCAGUGUUGGUUGUUCUUGGUUUCGCAGGAUUUUAUAGGAGAUGGACCUUCUCCUAAAAGUCUUAUCUUCUAAGUCUCCUAAGUCUUGGACUUUUCAAGGCCAAAGAUUUAAAGGCCAAGUGGACCAUACGGGAGAUCUAGUUUCCCAUCCAGACAGCCAAGCUCAUGCAUCCCUGGAUUUGGAUGGAUGGUUUCCCAUGGGGCCUUGGACAGAUUGGACCCAGCACUGGCACAGGGUUGACUUGGAGGAAUAAGCUCCUGGAAACCUCAAUUAGCGUUUGGGGUAUGAACAUUAAACAAUACUGAAUCUGGAAACAAUACAUCACACAGCGGGUCCAAGGAAAUAAGCAGAAGGCUGGCAGCAGGCCAGGGCCAGGGGCCAAAUCGCUCCUCAAAGACAAUUCUUCAUGGAGAAAUGACAGCAGGUUUGAGGACAGCAGAAUUUCGCUCUUGUUGCCCAGGGCUGGAGUGCAAUGGUGCAAUCUCGGCUCACCACAACCACUGCCUCCUGGGUUCAAGCGAUUCUCCUGCCUCAGCCUCCUGAGUAGCUGGGAUUACAGGAAGUACAAAAACAUCCUUGCCGUUUGCUGGAAUGAUGUACUGCUGAAGGCAAUGGACACUGGGGUUGUUUGUCCCUAAUCACAAGUGAGCAAUACCAGAUCUAUUAUCUCAGGUUCAGAGAAGUGAGGUGUCUGACCUUCAGACAGGAUUGAAUGCAGAGUAAAAUAAUUCCAAAUAUGGUCUGGGCAUUGCAUGUAAUACAGAGUAAAAGUUAUUGUAAGACACUUUCGCCAGUUUCUGUCACUUGGUUCCUCAAAUGUUUAGUUCAUUCUAAUUACAUAAUCAGCCUUCUGAUUCAAUGAAGACUGAUGGGAUUGCUGACUUGCCACCCUGGAGUUCAGUUGGCAGCAAGUGAGGGAAAAGGUGAACUCUGUAAACAAGGUUUAGAAGCCCUUUUCUUAACUCUUUAUAAAACAGAGAAGAUGAGGAAGGAGAAAGGCACUGUCAUUAAGCUCUUAGCCAGGGAAUUACACAUACACACACGUGUGUGUGUGUGUAUUUCAACUCAAUGUACAAGGACUUCUCAGCCCAUAGCUACUUUGAACACAUUGUUUAUCCCCCAUAGCAUGAAGGACUAAAGGAACCAGAGAUUUCAUAAUCUCUGGCCUGUAACGUUUUUGCUGAAAUAUCUGCUGUUAUUCUAAUGGGGUUUCCUUUAAAGGUGACUAGUCACUCUUCUUUUGCUAAUUAAUUUUUUUUUUCACUUUGACUUUAGACAUUCUGAAUAUAAUAUGCUAUGAUGAAGCACUUUAUGCAAUGUAUAUUCCUGAGGAUUGCUGGGCCUCCUGUAACUAGAUGUCUGACUCUCUUGCUAGAUGUGGAAAGUUUUCAUCAAUUAUUUUCUUAAACAGGUUUUCUAAGCUUUUAAAUAAUCUUUCUUUCCCAUCAGGAAUACCAAUAAUUUCUAAUUUCAGUCACUUUAUGUAGUCCCAGACAUCUCAAAGGCUUUGUGCACUCCCUUUUAUACUUUUUUGUUGUCGUUAUCUUUGUCUUACUGGAUUAUUUCAAAAGACUUAUCUUCAAGUUCUGAGAUUCUUUCUUCUGCUUGAUCUAUUCUGUUAUUGAAGCUUUCAAAUACAUUUUGCAUUUCCUUCAAUAGUUUUUUUAGGUUUAGAUUUUCUGCUUUUGCUUUAUAAGAUACCCAUCUCCUUGAUACAUUUCUCAUUAAUAUCCUGAGUUAAUUUUCUAAUUUCUUGAAGUUGGCCCAAGGGUGGAAUGCAGCCCCGUGUUAAACUCUCAAAACUGUGCCUUGGGCCUGUGACCAGACAGAGCAGAUUUCUUCUCAAGUAAGUAGCAUAGAAAAGAGAGAUCCAAAUAAACACAAUCAUAAAUGAAAAAGGAGACAUUAUAGCUGAUAACACAGAGGCACAAAGAUCAUCAGAGACUAUUAUAAAUAACUAUAUGAUCACAAACC